AACACAAAUGAUAAUAACUUUAUUAUUGGGGGACUGAAGAGAGCAACUGCUGCGGCUUCCGUAUGGACCUCGCGCUCAGAACUCAGAACUCAGAUGGAGAUGCUGUUUGGAAUGCCCUUGGCGGUGAUGCCGGCGGCAUCGCCAUUCUUGUCGGAGGUGUUGGGGUAGAGCAGCGUGUAGGGGAACUUGGCCGGCCCGUUGCGGUUCUUGAGACUUGGGUCGGCGUUCAUGGUCAUCACGCGGCUCUCGAUCUCGGUCAGCCGCGCCCCGAACCGCCGGAACGCCUCCUGCGCCUUGGCGUCCGACGUCCACUCCGGCGUGUCGCGCUGGCCGAGGUACACCUCGUCGGAG
rnacentral:lncRNA from 1 species